GAUGGACCUGGAGGACGGACGGACAUGCACACAGGGACACACACACACACACACACACACACACAUUUUUAGGGUGACACAAAGUGGCCAUGAAGGCUGAUAAUAACAAUGCUCCGGUAAAGUAAGGUAAGACAAAAGUACUCAGAGGGUUAACUAGCUGUGUAACAACAAAUGGACUAGAUCCUUGGGGCAGGAUGUUGUAGUGGCUAACAACUGAAUUCCCAGUAAGUAACUCAACCCCUUGCCUCAGGCCUCAAUAAACUGUUCUAAUGUUGUCCAAGAUUUUCCGCAAAUAUUUCGGAUCCAAUCAUAAAAUAUUGAAAAGCUUUGGAACGCAGAAAUGUCCAAAUGUCCAGGCUUAAAAGGUACCAGGCUUUUGCGCAAGUGUUAUAGAGCUUUUUUUCAAAUUACGACCAUAAACUAAAUUAGAAACCAUUGGUGCGUGCUAAAGUGUAAUUGUAUUGAGUGAGUGAGUGAGUGCCUACUUCAGCCUUCACUAUGCGGUCCACAAUGGUCUCCAGGGUCUCCAGCUUGUGGCACUUCAUGACUCCCUCAAAGUACUGCGAGCGGUGCUUCAGCGCCUGGGUCACCGUGAUGUCCAGGUUGUUGUACGUCUUCUCCGCCGCCAAGUUCUGAAAAACGGCCAACAGGGGGCGCAGCACUUAGGAGCAAGCUCAGCUAGUAGGAGACCAGGAGGAUGCUUCAGUUCAAGAUGGCUUCUGUUGUACACAAUGGCUUUCAUUGUAGAUUAAUCCAUCGAUUAUUAUUCACAUUCAAUAUUUAGUCUAUAACGUGUCAUAAUACGUGGAAAAUGUCCACCACAAGCCUUAAAUUAAGUGUAUGCUUUUGUCAAAUGAGUGGCCAAGAAAAAAGGUUAUAAAGUUAUUUUAUAAUCUGAAAGAAAAAAGCUAAAAUAUGUGUAUUUCACGAGCUGUAAACAUCAUCGAUUUUCCGUUGAACAAAAAAAACAUCCAUCUUAUUGUGAGACUGAUCGCCUCGGCACUCAUUGGUUACACCAACAGCUUGGGGGGGGGGGGGGGGGUGUGUGCAUUGAAAACAAAAUGGCCGAACUUACGAUGACGUCAAACUUGGAGUAAAUAUCCACCACCUUGCCUGUGAGGAGAGAACAACAUGAGACGUCAGCAUUGCGUUGUCCCCCAGAGAGACCGGUGCAGAGCCUCACAGUGGGAUGCGUCCCUACCGCUCUCGUCCACCACGGGCAGCGCAGACACCCUCCGCUCCACGAAGAUGUUGAGGGCUUUGAUGAUGGGCGUGUCCGGGUGGAUGAAGGCGAUCUGGUUGUACGUGCCGAUGCCCAGCUCCCCCAGCGUCUGCUUCAUGAACGCUGGCUUUGGCAUUUCACACACCUGGGCGAGUGGGAGGGAGGGACACACACACACACACACACACACACACACACACACACACACACACACACACACACACACACACACACACACACACACACACACACACACACACACACACACACACACACACACACACACACACACACACA